GCUGUUCAACUGAAUGCCCUCUGGAUAACAAACAUACUUACAUCUGGUAUAAGAAUGGACAACAGGUAACAGAUGGAUUGAGAUUAUUAAACAAGCUGUACCUGGACUCAAUCAACAGUGAGGAGAUAAAACAGUUUUCAUGUACUGUAAGAGAUGUCCAGAGUAAAGUUUCAGAGAAGAGCGUGGAAAUACGAAUCAUCAUAUUGUUACUAUCUGUGUUUCUCAUUAUUGCAGUCAUAGGAGUCCUGUAUUAUAGGAGGAGAAAGUAUAUAUCAUCUCAGAAAUGUGACAACGCAAAUCCGGCUGUACAGCCCAAAUCCCAACCAGACUCAUCUACAUUGGAUAACUCCACACCUCUGUAUACGGUUUCUGACUUUGCCCACAAGACUCACUCAGAUGAGCAGAUCAUUCAUUAUUCAAGUAUUCAUUUCAAGAAGUCUUGCACCCCUACUGUUAUAUAUGAAUCAAUUGAAGAUGUUAAUUAUUCCACUUUGAAGUUAAAAUGACCCUUAACUAAAUCAUGCUUUGUCAACUGUUUCAGUCCAUGUCUAGGCCUGUGUUUUUGUAUAGUUUUAAUGACCAGAGGGUGGCAAGAGAGGUUUCAUGUGGCAUUUAUUGGUAGAAAAGCUUGUACCACCACAGCAACAGUAAACCAGAGGUGAGGUAAAUGUUCGAUUUAAGGACAUUGCCAGAUGACCCCAAAGGAAACUGAGUUGUUUAAAGGGAUUAUGAGCGGACAGCUCUAACUAUUGGAUUAGAUACUGCUAAUGUAUUUCCUUAUUUGUUUGUAUUGUAUGUUGCUUGAUGUAUUGCCUGUUAUCAGUCAUACAUGAAAAAAUCAUGCUAAAAUAGU